AGGAUAAACGCUGGCGGCGUGCACGAGACAUGCAAGUCGAACGGACGAUCGAGGCUUGCUUCGAUCGUUAGUGGCGGACGGCUGAGUAACGCGUAGGUGACCUGCCCCGAAGUGGGGAAUAACUGCCCGAAAGGGUGGCUAAUACCGCAUGUGGUGGUGUGUUCAAUCACACCAGUAAAGCCGCAAGGCGCUUCGGGAGGGGCCUGCGUCCGAUUAGCUCGUUGGUGGGGUAACGGCUCACCAAGGCGACGAUCGGUAGGUGGUCUGAGAGGACGAUCACCCAGACUGGGACUGAGACACGGCCCAGACUCCUACGGGAGGCAGCAGUCGGGAAUUUUUGCGCAAUGGACGAAAGUCUGACGCAGCAACGCCGCGUGAGGGAUGACGGCCUUCGGGUUGUAAACCUCUUUUGUCUAGGGAAGAUGAUGACGGUACCUGACGAAUAAGUCACGGCUAACUACGUGCCAGCAGCCGC
rnacentral:rRNA from 1 species